CAGUCGCCACGGGAAUACCAGCAGCCCAAGUGGUGGUCGCGCUUAUUGGGCCUAAAGCGCUCGUAGCCUGGCCGGUAAGUUCCCCGUGAAAUCGGGUCGCCCAACGAUUCGGCUUGCGGGGAAUACUGUCGGUCUUGGGGCCGGGAGACGCCGAGGGUACUCCGGGGGUAGCGGUGAAAUGCUGUAAUCCUCGGGGGACUACCAGUGGCGAAGGCGCUCGGCGAUAACGGGCCUGACGGUGAGGGGCGAAAGCUGGGGGCGCGAACGGGAUUAGAUACCCGAGUAGUCCCUGUCUCUUAUA
rnacentral:rRNA from 1 species